ensembl:lncRNA STX17-DT STX17 divergent transcript
UUCUCUCUCCUCACCACGCGGCUGCUGCUGGAGGAUGGAGGAGGGGUGGUGUCAGCAAUUCAAGACUGUCUUUCCUACCCUCUUCAGUGCCCUUCCUUGAUAAGCUGUUUAAACCAGAACCGACUGUUUCUGGAAAAGCUGACAGCUCAACUGAAGUCCCAGCCACAGCCAGCAUCAACUGCAAAGACACCUCCAGAUGACUGCAACCCCAGCCAUCAAGUCAUUCCCAGCCUUCAAGCCUUCCCAGCUGAGGCCCAGACAUCAGAGAAGGUAAACAAGCCACCUCUGCUGUGCUCUGUUCACAUUCCUGAUCCACAGAAACCAUGAGGACAAUAAGAUUGUUGUUUUAUGCCACUAAGUUUUUAGAGUGGUUUGUUACAUAGCAAGAACAAUAGAAAUGGUAUCAUAUUUAGUAUGUUCCUCACAAAUUGUGAGCAAGUAUCCCAAGAUGGGUGCAGAGCCCAACUUCCUUCUAGUUCAUAUGUAAGUUUCUUGUCAUCCUGAGGCAUUUUUUGAAUAAAAAAAUUAAUUCAAGAUGGAUUAAAGACUUAAAUGUUAGACCUAAAACCAUAAAAACCCUAGAAGAAAACCUAGGCAAUACCAUUCAGGACAUAGGCACGGGCAAGGACUUCAUGUCUGAAACACCAAAAGCAAUGGCAACAAAAGCCAAAAUAGACAAAUGGGAUCUAAUUAAACUAAAGAGCUUCUGCACACCAAAAGAAACUAUCAUCAGAGUGAACAGGCCACCUACAGAAUGGGAGAAAAUUUUUGCAAACUACUUAUCUGACAAAGGGCUAAUAUCCAGAAUCUACAAAGAACUCAAACAAAUUUACAAGAAAAAAACGAACAACCCCAUCAAAAAGUGGGUGAAGGAUAUGAACAGACACUUCUCAAAAGAAGACAUUUAUGCAGGCAACAGGCACAUGAAAAAAUGCUCAUCGUCACUGGCCAUCAGAGAAAUGCAAAUCAAAACCACAGUGAGAUACCAUCUCACACCAGUUAGAAUGGCGAUCAUUAAAAAGUCAGGAAACAACAGGUGCUGGAGAGGUUGUGGAGAAAUAGGAACACUUUUACACUGUUGGUGGGCGUGUAAACUAGUUCAACCAUUGUGGAAGACAGUGUGGCGAUUCCUCAAGGAUCUAGAACUGGAAAUACCAUUUGACCCAGCCAUCCCAUUACUGGGUAUAUACCCAAAGGAUUAUAAAUCAUGCUGCUAUAAAGACACAUGCACACGUAUGUUUAUUGUGGCACUAUUCACAAUAGCAAAGACUUGGAACCAACCCAAAUGUCCAUCAAUGAUAGACUGGAUUAAGAAAAUGUGGCACAUAUACACCAUGGAAUACUAUGCAGCCAUAAAAAAUGAUGAGUUCAUGUCCUUUGUAGGGACAUGGAUGAAGCUGGAAACCAUCAUUCUCAGCAAACUUUCGCAAGGACAAAAAACCAAACACCGCAUGUUCUCACUUAUAGGUGGGAAUUGAACAAUGAGAACACUUGGGCACAGGAAGGGGAACAUCACACACCGGGGCCUGUCGUGAGGUGGGGGAAGGGGGGAGGGGUAGCAUUAGGAGAUAUACCUACUGUAAAUGACGAGUUAAUGGGUGCAGCACACCAACAUGGCACA